rnacentral:rRNA from 1 species
CCAAUAGCGUAUAUUAAAGUUGUUGCAGUUAAAAAGCUCGUAGUUGAACUUCGGGAUUUGCCCAUUGGUCAGGCUUAACUGUCUGCACUGGUGUGACGAGUUCCUACCUUCUGAGGAAUCUCCAUGUCAUUCAGUUGGUGUGGGGGGAAAUCAGGACUGUUACUUUGAAAAAAUUAGAGUGUUUAAAGCAGGCGUCCGUCUGAAUACAUUAGCAUGGAAUAAUAAAAUAGGACGGUUUGGUUCUAUUUUGUUGGUUUCUAGGAUCACCGUAGUGAUUAAUAGGGAUAGUUGGGGGCAUUAGUAUUCAAUUGUCAGAGGUGAAAUUCUUGGAUUUAUUGAAGACUAACUACUGCGAAAGCAUUUGCCAAGGAUGUUUUCAUUAAUCAAGAACGAAAGUUAGGGGAUCGAAGACGAUCAGAUACCGUCGUAGUCUUAACCAUAAACUAUGCCGACUAGGGAUCGGACGAAGUUAAUUUUUUAAUGACUCGUUCGGCACCUUACG